rnacentral:rRNA from 1 species
UCGGGCUGAAGACUCUACUUGACUAGCUGAGAGGAGGUGCAUGGCCGUCGUCAGUUCGUACUGUGAAGCACCCUGUUAAGUCAGGCAACGAGCGAGACCCACGCCAACAGUUGCCAGCUCGUCCUCCCGGGAUGGUGGGGACACUGUUGGGACCGCCUCUGCUAAAGAGGAGGAAGGAAUGGGGCAACGGUAGGUCAGCAUGCCCCGAAUUAUCUGGGCUACACGCGGGCUACAAUGGGUGGGACAAUGGGUAUCGACACCGAAAGGUGAAGGCAAUCUCCUAAACCCAUCCGUAGUUCGGAUUGUGGGCUGCAACUCGCCCACAUGAAGCUGGAAUCUGUAGUAAUCGUGUCUCAAAAUGGCACGGUGAAUAUGUCCCUGCUCCUU